GUGCUCCCUUCAGCAGCACAUAUACUGAAAUUGGUACGACACAGAAGAUUAGCAUGGCCCUUGUGCAAGGAUGACAUGAAAAUUUGUAAACUGUUCCAUAUUACU